ensembl:ncRNA F11D5.35 ncRNA
AACCAUCAAUUAGUCACACCACACCGUGAACGCCGAUAGAUUCGGCCCACCGAUUUCUUGGCCCCCCUUGUCUUGUCUACCACGCGUAUGUUGAUGGUGUCGAGGCACGUUGGCCUGGUUAUGUUUUCGAGAUAAGUGUGGAUAU